UACGUAGGGUGCAAGCGUUAAUCGGAAUUACUGGGCGUAAAGCGUGCGUAGGCGGCUAUGUAAGACAGAUGUGAAAUCCCUGGGCUUAACCUAGGAACUGCAUUUGUGACUGCAUUGCUAGAGUGUGGUAGAGGGAGAUGGAAUUCCGCAUGUAGCAGUGAAAUGCGUAGAUAUGCGGAGGAACACCAAUGGCGAAGGCAAUCUCCUGGACCUGCACUGACGCUCAUGCUCGAAGGCGUGGGGAGCAAACAGG
rnacentral:rRNA from 1 species